UACAGAGGGUGCGAGCGUUAAUCGGAAUUAUUGGGCGUAAAGAGCGUGUAGGCGGCCAUACAGGUCAGCUGUGAAAACUCGAGGCUCAACCUCGAGACGUCGGUUGAAACCGUAUGGCUAGAGUCCGGAAGAGGAGAGUGGAAUUCCCGGUGUAGCGGUGAAAUGCGCAGAUAUCGGGAAGAACACCUAUGGCGAAGGCAGCUCUCUGGGACGGUACUGACGCUGAGACGCGAAAGCGUGGGGAGCAAACAGG
rnacentral:rRNA from 1 species